rnacentral:rRNA from 1 species
GGUUGCGAUCAUACCAGCACUAAUGCACCGGAUCCCAUCAGAACUCCGCAGUUAAGCGUGCUUGGGCGAGAGUAUUACUAGGAUGGGUGGCCCCCUGGGAAGUCCUCGUGUUGCAACCC